GACGAACGCUGGCGGCGUGCUUAACACAUGCAAGUCGAACGGUAAGGCCCUUCGGGGUACACGAGUGGCGAACGGGUGAGUAACACGUGGGUGAUCUGCCCUGCACUUUGGGAUAAGCCUGGGAAACUAGGUCUAAUACCGGAUAGGACCAUGGCAUGCAUGUGCUGUGGUGGAAAGCUUUUGCGGUGUGGGAUGGGCCCGCGGCCUAUCAGCUUGUUGGUGGGGUGAUGGCCUACCAAGGCGACGACGGGUAGCCGGCCUGAGAGGGUGUCCGGCCACACUGGGACUGAGAUACGGCCCAGACUCCUACGGGAGGCAGCAGUGGGGAAUAUUGCACAAUGGGCGCAAGCCUGAUGCAGCGACGCCGCGUGGGGGGAUGACGGCCUUCGGGUUGUAAACCUCUUUCAAUAGGGACGAAGCGCAAGUGACGGUACCUAUAGAAGAAGCACCGGCCAACUACGUGCCAGCCGCCGCCGUAA
rnacentral:rRNA from 1 species